rnacentral:tRNA from 1 species
CAGGGAGACAACAAAAUGUUUAAUAUUAUUAUUUUGUCACCUUAGGUCGAUCGGUAUCUCACGUUCUUAAUUUAUUAAGAAUUUCAUUUCCUAAGUUUUUCUAGGUCACACCCAUUAUUUUUCCUGGGCCAUUAGCUCAGGUGGUUAGAGCGCACCCCUGAUAAGGGUGAGGUCCCUGGUUCAAGUCCAGGAUGGCCCAUAUCUCUAUGUUGGGGGUAUAGCUCAGUUGGUAGAGCGCCUGCUUUGCAAGCAGGAUGUCAGCGGUUCGAGUCCGCUUACCUCCACUGAUCACCACCUCUUCCAUAAUCGGUAGAAAGGAAAUUUUUUGAGUUGUGAUCAAAUUCUGAAAGAAUCUAGCUUCCUAAUGAAAUUAUUAAGAUGCUGGACUCAUUGAAUUAAUUUCAUUGUUUUCAGAGAACCUUGACAACUGUAUAGAUUAUUUUUAAAGACAAUAAGCAUCUUUAAUGAUGCAGAUUUAUUAUUUGUGCAAAUGCAUUAAUAACAAUUCUAUUAAGCUGAUGCUUCAAUAUUUGAAGUUAUU